GAGUUUGAUCCUGGCUCAGGAUGAACGCUAGCGGCAGGCUUAAUACAUGCAAGUCGAGGGGUAAGGCUCAUUUCGAUGAGUACACGACCGGCGCACGGGUGCGUAACGCGUAUGCAACCUACCUUUAACAGGGGGAUAGCCCCGAGAAAUCGGGAUUAAUACCCCAUAAUACUGUAAAGUGGCAUCACUUUACAUUUAAAACUCUGGUGGUUAAAGAUGGGCAUGCGUGACAUUAGCUGGUUGGUGAGGUAACGGCUCACCAAGGCUACGAUGUCUAGGGGUUCUGAGAGGAAGAUCCCCCACACUGGUACUGAGACACGGACCAGACUCCUACGGGAGGCAGCAGUAAGGAAUAUUGGUCAAUGGACGCAAGUCUGAACCAGCCAUGCCGCGUGCAGGAAGACAGCCCUAUGGGUUGUAAACUGCUUUUAUAAAGGAAUAACCAUUCUCGUGA
rnacentral:rRNA from 1 species